rnacentral:rRNA from 1 species
UACGGGGGGGGGCAAGCGUUGUUCGGAAUUACUGGGCGUAAAGGGCGCGUAGGCGGCCUGCUAAGUCGAACGUGAAAUCCCCGGGCUCAACCCGGGAACUGCGUCCGAUACUGGCAGGCUUGAAUCCGGGAGAGGGAUGCGGAAUUCCAGGUGUAGCGGUGAAAUGCGUAGAUAUCUGGAGGAACACCGGUGGCGAAGGCGGCAUCCUGGACCGGCAUUGACGCUGAGGCGCGAAAGCCAGGGGAGCAAACGGG